ACUCCUACGGGAGGCAGCAGUAGGGAAUCUUCCACAAUGGGUGCAAACCUGAUGGAGCAAUGCCGCGUGAGUGAAGAAGGUCUUCGGAUCGUAAAGCUCUGUUGUUAGAGAAGAACACGUGCUAGGUAACUACUAGCGCCUUGACGGUAUCUAACCAGAAAGUCACGGCUAACUACGUGCCAGCAGCCGCGGUAAUACGUAGGUGACAAGCGUUGUCCGGAUUUAUUGGGCGUAAAGGGAGCGCAGGCGGUCUGUUUAGUCUAAUGUGAAAGCCCACGGCUUAACCGUGGAACGGCAUUGGAAACUGACAGACUUGAAUGUAGAAGAGGAAAAUGGAAUUCCAAGUGUAGCGGUGGAAUGCGUAGAUAUUUGGAGGAACACCAGUGGCGAAGGCGAUUUUCUGGUCUAACAUUGACGCUGAGGCUCGAAAGCGUGGGGAGCGAACAGGAUUAGAAACCCUUGUAGUCCCAUG
rnacentral:rRNA from 1 species